AGGUUGACUGCUGUGUGUGGGCCAGGCUCUGGGGCCAGUUGGAGGCCAGAGUCGCAUCCCAAAGGGCAGAGGGCCACCGGCCCCUCUCGGAGGGAGCCAGGGUUAGGCAGCCCUCCCAACAUUCAGGUUGGGAGGGCCCACCAUGAAGAAGGUCAAGAAGAAAAGAUCCGAGGCCAAACGCCAACGGGACUCCAACUCGCAACAUGGCAGCUCCAACUCUACCCCGCAACAGCCCAGCCUGGAGAACGUGCAACAGCCACCGCCGCCACGGCCACCACCCCAGCAGCCACCACAGCAGCCCCUACGCCCCGAGACUGCCCCUGUCGCUCAGCAGCCUCACCCUGAGGCCGCCCCUCAGCAGCCUCGCCCCAUCACCGCCCCCCAGAAGCCCGCAUCGCAGACACCUCCAGACCAAGGAAGCCGGAACUCCUCAGGGAGUCUGUUGUCCCCGGACUCGAACUCCAAGGCCGUCCCGCAGUCCCGGAAGUCGAGCGGCCAUCACUCCAGCUCCAGCAGUUCCCGGAAAACAGGGCAACUGACUCAUUCGAGCCCACGUUCCUGCCCCUGUGCUGUUUGCCCAGGCAGCUCGGCUUGCUGGCGUCGUCUAGGGCUGUGCCACAGCCGCAUCUUCGAUGUCCUUCUGCCUCGAGACUGGCAGCUCGUGCCAGGGAGAGGAUGCCCAAGUCUUCUCACCUUCUACAGGUUCCAGAGCUCGUGGGGGGCUGGAGCCCCAGGGGUGCUCAGUACCCAGUGGUCACUGACGACCUUCAAGAAAACACUCCUCAGGACAUCGUAACACACGUGCUCCAUGCCCUCGGGACUGUGGCUGUGGCUCUGGGGGCCCUAGGAGCUGCCUACUACAUCGCUGAGUCCUUGUGAACACGCCUCCAGGCCCACGGUCCAGCAGAUCCAAUUUCCAUCUAAGGAUCUCACCUGUCACCAAAUAAAGUGUAAAAAAAAAAAAAUCCUGUUCCUU